rnacentral:rRNA from 1 species
UACGUAGGGCGCAAGCGUUAUCCGGAAUUAUUGGGCGUAAAGAGCUCGUAGGCGGUCUGUCGCGUCUGCUGUGAAAACUCGGGGCUUAACCCCGGGCCUGCAGUGGGUACGGGCAAACUAGAGUGCGGUAGGGGAGACUGGAAUUCCUGGUGUAGCGGUGAAAUGCGCAGAUAUCAGGAGGAACACCGGUGGCGAAGGCGGGUCUCUGGGCCGUAACUGACGCUGAGGAGCGAAAGCAUGGGGAGCGAACAGG